rnacentral:rRNA from 1 species
GACAGAGGGGGCAAGCGUUGCUCGGAAUUACUGGGCGUAAAGGGCGCGUAGGCGGGAUGGCAAGUCGGUCGUGAAAUCCCUCGGCUCAACUGAGGAUCGUCGAUCGAUACUGCCGUUCUUGAGGAUUGCAGAGGAGACUGGAAUUCCCGGUGUAGCGGUGAAAUGUGUAGAGAUCGGGAGGAACACCGGUGGCGAAGGCGGGUCUCUGGGCUGACACUGACGCUCAUGCACGAAAGCGUGGGGAGCAAACAGG